GCGAUGAAUACGUGGCGUGCAUUGGAAACGCAGAGUUCAACCCCAGGUACACACGGCACACCUGCCUGUGAAAGAAGGGUGCUGUGUAUGGUAGGUUCUACGUCGUCGUUCACCCAACACUGAAAAUGAACAGCCCCAACAGGUCUAAUGUUCAAACGUAGUCACAUGCGGACAACUCUGCUCACGAGAACGAAAGCCCAGGAAUCUCAAAUAAAAGAAAAUGAGAACAUCAAAUAAAAGGAAACGAGAACAAAUAAUGUUUAAAACUGCACGGGACCUGAGAGCGGGGCACACGAUCUCUGCCAGGCGCCGGGCUCAAGAUGAAUGGCUAACUUGUUCAUGGCAGGUCGGUGAAGUUUCUCCACAUUUCCAAGCCAGUUUAGUCAGGUUGAACAGGAAAUCAGAUGACUCACUGUCCACAGAACGAGAAGAAACUGUGUAAAUCUUGUCCCUAGAGGAGAACCAUUAAAUCUGUCUUCCUAGCCUCA